UCAAAUCGUUUCGUUAGUUUUUCAUAUCGUUUUACUUCUUAUUCGUAUAAAAUUGUUAAAUCAUACGGCGAAAAAUUAAUAAAAGAAUUAAUCUUAAUCGGUAUAUAUUUAUUAAGAAACCUUAGAGGAAUUAUAAAAGUACGUGAAAAUAAUAAUCUAAUUAUGUGUUAUUUGAAGGUUACAUAAUAUUUCGGGAACUCAGAAGCCAUUGGAAGAUCGAUGUGAUAAACAAGAAAUACAUGUAUAACGCAACGAUCUUCGAGCAAAAACAUCAAAAUAAACAAAUUCGACGUCGAGAAAAAAGCAACCUCCGUUUUUCGUUUGAUCGAAAAUAUGUAGGUAAGUAUCUUCUGUUGCCUUAAGUCAACCGAGUAAACCGUGCCACGUGCAAAAAACGUACACGACGAGAUCGGGUCGACGUAAAGCUAAAUUUAGAUUCAAAGGUAGAACUGCUGGACGACGUCGCUCGUGGAGGUUCUUACGCGCGCGUGAAUCUUGAACUCGUGACAUUCGUAGUCCAAUUAAGACUACUUUCAUCGGCGAG